GUUUUAAUAAUUUAAAUACAAAAAUAUUGAUUUUGUAAAUCAAAAAUAAAUAAUAAUUUUUAAAACU
rnacentral:tRNA from 1 species